ensembl:lincRNA uncharacterized LOC102014340
GGAAGUGACAGAGCUCAGUGUCCUUAUUCUGGUCUUCAUGUGUGAGUUUAAGUCAGACCUCAGCUUAGACCCAAAUGUGGCCUCCUGGCUAUGCAUCUUACUGGCAGUGACCAUCCUUCUCAUUGCCUUUGUUACAUUUAAACCCCCCUUCAGUAAGAUUGAUACAUGUCUAAAGAAAUGCAUCUCUGGAAAUUCUCUGCAUCUUCACGGAGGCUGUAAACCUUGGCUCCCCUCCUCAUGAUCACUCACAAAUACACACCAAUUGUGCUACUAAGAACAUGGUUCUCAGAUGCCACCUUUUUCAGCAUCCUGGGAAAGAAGUCCUGAGAGGGCAGGAAACUGGGAUGAGGGAGGACAACUUGCUUCUUGUGACUUUGUAGGAGAGAGAACCUAGGAAGACUACGCAGUAACAUCAGCUCGAGAGUGACAACCUGGCUCAGACAGAGAGUAUUUCUUACACUCUCAUUAUUCAUAUUAAAAGGAAAUUGAUAAUAAAUAUUUUUACACUCUCCAAC